UACAGAGGGGGCAAGCGUUGUUCGGAAUUACUGGGCGUAAAGGGCGCGUAGGCGGCCUGCUAAGUCGAACGUGAAAUCCCCGGGCUCAACCCGGGAACUGCGUCCGAUACUGGUUGGCUUGAAUCCGGGAGAGGGAUGCGGAAUUCCAAGGUGUAGCGGUGAAAUGCGUAGAUAUCUGGAGGAACACCGGUGGCGAAGGCGGCAUCCUGGACCGGCAUUGACGCUGAGGCGCGAAAGCUAGGGGAGCAAACGGG
rnacentral:rRNA from 1 species